CCGAGUUAUUCACUCAUCAACCCUGUGAACAUACCUAAACGUUGCUUCGGCGGGAAUAGACGGCCCCGUGAAACGGGCCGCCCCCGCCAGAGGACCCUUAACUCUGUUUCUAUAAUGUUUCUUCUGAGUAAAACAAGCAAAUAAAUUAAAACUUUCAACAACGGAUCUCUUGGCUCUGGCAUCGAUGAAGAACGCAGCGAAAUGCGAUAAGUAAUGUGAAUUGCAGAAUUCAGUGAAUCAUCGAAUCUUUGAACGCACAUUGCGCCCGCCAGUAUUCUGGCGGGCAUGCCUGUUCGAGCGUCAUUACAACCCUCAGGCCCCCGGGCCUGGCGUUGGGGAUCGGCGGAGCCCCCCGUGGGCACACGCCGUCCCCCAAAUACAGUGGCGGUCCCGCCGCAGCUUCCAUCGCGUAGUAGCUAACACCUCGCGACUGGAGAGCGGCGCGGCCACGCCGUAAAACACCCAACUCUUCUGAAGUGACCUCGAAUCAGGUAGGAAUACCCGCAG
rnacentral:rRNA from 1 species